rnacentral:rRNA from 1 species
AAUCAACGCUGGCGGCGUGCCUCAGACAUGCAAGUCGAACGAUUAAAGCUCUCUUCGGAGAGUGCAUAGAGUGGCGCACGGGUGAGUAACACGUAAGUAAUCUACCUUCGAGUGGGGAAUAACGUCCGGAAACGGACGCUAAUACCGCAUAAUGCAGCGGCAUCGCAAGAUGACAGUUGUUAAAGGAGCAAUUCGCUUGAAGAGGAGCUUGCGGCAGAUUAGCUAGUUGGUAAGGUAAUGGCUUACCAAGGCUACGAUCUGUAACCGGUCUUAGAGGACGGUCGGUCACACUGACACUGAAUAACGGGUCAGACUCCUACGGGAGGCAGCAGUGGGGAAUUUUGGACAAUGGGGGCAACCCUGAUCCAGCCAUGCCGCGUGCGGGAAGAAGGCCU